GGGGGCUCGAGGGAGGGGGAAAGCAGAGGGAGCUGUAGUGCCAGGAACAGCUUUGUAUCCCUGACACUAAAUGUCCCUCUGCUUUCCCCCUCCCUCGCGCCCCCACCACUGUGAA